rnacentral:rRNA from 1 species
GAUGAACGCUGGCGGCGUGCUUAACACAUGCAAGUCGAACGGAAAGGCCCAAGCUUGCUUGGGUACUCGAGUGGCGAACGGGUGAGUAACACGUGGGUGAUCUGCCCUGCACUUCGGGAUAAGCCUGGGAAACUGGGUCUAAUACCGGAUAGGACCACUUCUUGGAUGUUGUGGUGGAAAGUUUUUUCGGUGUGGGAUGAGCUCGCGGCCUAUCCGCUUGUUGGUGGGGUAAUGGCCUACCAAGGCGUCGACGGGUAGCCGGCCUGAGAGGGUGUACGGCCACAGUGGGACUGAGAUACGGCCCAGACUCCUACGGGAGGCAGCAGUGGGGAAUAUUGCACAAUGGGCGCAAGCCUGAUGCAGCGACGCCGCGUGGGGGAUGACGGCCUUCGGGUUGUAAACUCCUUUCGCUAGGGACGAAGCGUUUUGUGACGGUACCUGGAGAAGAAGCACCGGCUAACUACGUG